GUCUUCUGCUGUGUCCUCUGCUCAGUUAUGAUGACGCAGACGAGGUUAGCAUGGCUCCUGCAUGAGGAUGACAUGUGAAUUGGUGAAGGGUUCAGUAUUUUU